CUCAGAAUGAACGCUGGCGGCAUGGCUAAGACAUGCAAGUCGAACGGACCAUAUAAUUGGGUAACCGAAAGUAUGGUUAGUGGCGAAAGGGUGAGGAAUAGAUAGGAACGUACCCUGUGCUCUGGGAUAGCGUCUGAAGCUUCGGCUUCUUCCGAAAGGGGCGGUAAUACCAGAUAAUGUCCUUCGGGACCAAAGAUUUAUCGGCAUUGGAGCGGCCUAUCUCCUAUCAGCUUGUUGGUGAGGUAACGGCUCACCAAGGCAACGACGGGUAGCGGGACUGAGAGGUUGGCCCGCCACAUCGGGACUGAGACACUGCCCGGACCUCCACGGAGGGCUGCAGUAACGGAUAUUGGGCAAUGGGCGAAAGCCUGACCCAGCAAUGCCGCGUGCAGGAUGAAGCCCCUAGGGGUGUAAACUGCUGUCAGGGGUCAGAAAGCUGGUUUCGGCCAGUUGAUCAACCCCAGAGGAAGUCACGGCUAACUUCGUGCCAGCAGCCGCGGUAAUACGAAGGUGGCAAGCGUUAUUCGGAAUCAUUGGGCUUAAAGGGCACGCAGGCGGAACAGUGUGUGUUGUGUGAAAUCCCCCGGCUUAACCGGGGAAUUGCACAGCAAACUGCUGUUCUUGAGGCAGGUAGGGGUGCAUGGAACUCUUGGUGGAGCGGUGGAAUGCGUAGAUAUCAAGAGGAACGCCAGAGGUGAAGACGGUGCACUGGGCCUGUCCUGACGCUGAGGUGCGAAAGCGUGGGGAGCGAACGGGAUUAGAUACCCCGGUAGUCCACGCCGUAAACGAUGUCUACUAGGUCGUGGGUGUUCUGACACAUUCACGGCCGGAGCAAAAGUGUUUAGUAGACCGCCUGGGGAGUACGGCCGCAAGGUUAAAACUCAAAUGAAUUGACGGGGGCUCACACAAGCGGUGGAGCAUGUGGAUUAAUUCGAAGCAACGCGCAGAACCUUACCUGGGUUUGACAUGCUUGUAUGCCUUCUCUGAAAGGAGUUAG
rnacentral:rRNA from 1 species